ACGACGCCGUUCCCUGUGUUCGCCUUACGUCAGCAGAGCUGAGCCAAGCCAGCAACUUACUGUGGGCAAACUAGUGCAUAAAUAAUGAGUGUGGCAACUUGGCAGCAGCCCAAGCACAGGGAAAAGUUCACGAAGCUCCCACUACCAGGAAAAGACCUGCCUGACUUUACAAGCAGUGGAAAUGAGAGGUCCUGAGGCAGGAUUUGCUGGAGGGCCUGGGUGACCUGGUGAAUGACUGAUGAAAAAUGGCAGAGUCACACUUCUACGGCAGAUUCUCCUCAUUCUUAUUGCUGGGGACAUCUGUCAGCAGCCAGCUAAAUGUCUACA